rnacentral:tRNA from 2 species
GGAAGGGUGGAUGAGCGGUUUAAGUCACACGCCUGGAAAGCGUGCGUGGGGUUAUACCCACCGCGGGUCUCGAAUCCCGCCUCUUCCGCCA